GCCUAGUUAGCUUAGUUGAUAGUGCGUCUGCCUUGUAAGCGCUAGACCGCGGGUUCGAUUCCCGCCCGGGGCG
rnacentral:tRNA from 1 species